AGCCUCGAGGUGUUUUACGUCAAAAUGCAAGUUUGAAGAAGAGCCCAAAAGGGCU
rnacentral:tRNA from 1 species